rnacentral:misc_RNA from 1 species
UCGCAAGUUGGUCACUUACGCGCCAUGCGCGCGUAAAAAACUCGUGUUCCAACCUUUUCACAAACCAUCGUGUACUGAGCGCCAUCUCUUAUCCAAAAGAAAUAACAGAAUUGGUUUUUCUUAAAAUGUGUUGAAACACAAGGCUGUCAAACGAGAAGCGGAACUAAAUUGAUAAAUUACACAUCUUCACGACUGUUUUUCGUCGAACAAAAAAUGGAGGUAAGAUAAUACAGGUUAUCCACGUGCAUCUGAAGAGAAAAGAAGAUCCGACAUUUGGUAAUAACUUGUUAUACCGAGAAUCUCACAUUCCCUUGUCCUGUCACUACCUCCCACUUUGAGAUGAAUGGUCCCAUUUUCUUCACCAUGAACUAUUCCAUUUAUAGUUUUCUUUUGCCUUAUAAUCCUAUUUUCCAAACUUUCCUUUUUGUAUAGCAGUACUUUUACCUCCAUAUUUACUCUAGAUCGUCAACAUUGGCCAACCAAAUCGGUUGGUUAGUAAUGACGUAGGCGAAACAUUGGAAAGCGAUGGAACGAGAACGAUCUCUUCUCCAUCCGUGACCAUGCUGUCAUCGUUAAUCAAAGUACGUCGAUUAACAAGAUCUCGAUCCCGUUUUUUCAAAGUUAUUCUGUCUUUAUUGAAUUUUGGUCUUGGGGUUGAGCCAAGGCGCCUUUUUCAUAGUACUUGGGUUGACCUCAAACAUAUGACAACUAGUGUUUAUAUUUGUCGUUGACAUCAAACGUCGUUCUGCAUCUCUCAGUUUACUGUUCCUAUAGGAUUUGAAUUUCAGUAAAAGCAUUCUGUUACGCACACGAAUUCGUAACGGACACACACAAGGAUUACCUACUGUGAUAACUAAAUUAGAGACGACAUGGCUUCCAUUUCCAAACAUGUUGCAAAGUAUGGAUAUCUGCUCAUCCUCAAACGUUAAUACCCCUCCCCAGAUCGUAUGUGGGAGACUGGGAGGAGGCAUUUUUGUCUUUUCUAAUGGCUCCGGGACUUCUCUACCUCUCCGUCACUGAAUGCUGACCGCAUGUCCUCGUAGCUGAGAGCUUCGUAAACGUUUAUCUAACGUUCGCCUAUGACGCGCCUGCCCAUCAUUUGCCAACAGCUGAGAAAACAUCCAUUCCUGAGAAUGAGGAAACUGCUAUUCCUGUGACUGCAGAAACUUCUACGCCUGGGACUGAGGUAAAUUCUACCCCCGUAACUGGGGAAACUGCCAUCACCGCGACUGAGGAAAAUUCUAUCUCCGUGGUCGAAGAAACUCCUCUCCCAGUGCCCGAUGAAACUGCUACCCCAGAACGAGAAGAAACUUCUAUCCCCAAGAUCGAGCAAGAUGUCAUUCCUACGACUGAGGUGGACAAUGACGAAUCGAAAGAGCCGGAACUAGUCCCAGAUCCAGAAGAUCCGGCAUUCAAGGAGCUACGCCAACUCUUAGACGACUUUCAUCCUGUAUGGAAAAGAAGCACUGAGAUGGCCAAUGCUACAUAUGGCGUUGUUGUUUUCUUCGUCCAGUUGUGGGCCUUACUUAUUUCAACAAUGAAUGUGGAUAUAGACCCUACUGGCUUGAUAGUUGGUAUCUACCUCGUUAUGCUCGCAUCAUUCAUGAAAUUCGAAAAGGUAGCGAGUGUCGAUCUCACUCGCUAUUUGAUCGUUUUUGCCAUAAUGCUGGGUGGGAUGUUGGUUGCUUUACAUUCCUGGAGUGUAUACGUUUGCCAGGAUUUGUUUUGCCACUGUGUUUCUCGAGAAACUUUGGAUCUAUUGAAUGCCGCAAGUUGCCGAUGGGUUAAUCAACGAUUCAUUAUUGAUUUAUUGAUGAUUGGAACUGGUAUUUCGAUCGUGAUUUUCAAUGAAUGUUUUCUGUGCGUUCUUAUCUUCUUCAAACCUUAACCGAAGUUCUUUUGAAAUGGAACUUAAUGUUUAAUCUUAAUCGCAUUUUCCGUAACCAGUUCUUUUUUUGCAAAAAAAAUUCAUGCAUUUACAUUUCAUGUAUACCAAGGA